rnacentral:rRNA from 1 species
AGAGUUUGAUCCUGGCUCAGGAUGAACGCUAGCUACAGGCUUAACACAUGCAAGUCGAGGGGAAACGACAUCGAAAGCUUGCUUUUGAUGGGCGUCGACCGGCGCACGGGUGAGUAACGCGUAUCCAACCUGCCCACCACUUGGGGAUAACCUUGCGAAAGUAAGACUAAUACCCAAUGACGUCUCUAGAAGACAUCUGAAAGAGAUUAAAGAUUUAUCGGUGAUGGAUGGGGAUGCGUCUGAUUAGCUUGUUGGCGGGGUAACGGCCCACCAAGGCGACGAUCAGUAGGGGUUCUGAGAGGAAGGUCCCCCACAUUGGAACUGAGACACGGUCCAAACUCCUACGGGAGGCAGCAGUGAGGAAUAUUGGUCAAUGGACGAGAGUCUGAACCAGCCAAGUAGCGUGCAGGAUGACGGCCCUAUGGGUUGUAAACUGCUUUUAUAAGGGAAUAAAGUGAGUCUCGUGAGACUUUUUGCAUGUACCUUAUGAAUAAGGACCGGCUAAUUCCGUGCCAGCAGCCGCGGUAAUACGGAAGGUCCGGGCGUUAUCCGGAUUUAUUGGGUUUAAAGGGAGCGUAGGCCGGAGAUUAAGCGUGUUGUGAAAUGUAGACGCUCAACGUCUGCACUGCAGCGCGAACUGGUUUCCUUGAGUACGCACAAAGUGGGCGGAAUUCGUGGUGUAGCGGUGAAAUGCUUAGAUAUCACGAAGAACUCCGAUUGCGAAGGCAGCUCACUGGAGCGCAACUGACGCUGAAGCUCGAAAGUGCGGGUAUCGAACAGGAUUAGAUACCCUGGUAGUCCGCACGGUAAACGAUGGAUGCCCGCUGUUGGUCUGAAUAGGUCAGCGGCCAAGCGAAAGCAUUAAGCAUCCCACCUGGGGAGUACGCCGGCAAC